rnacentral:rRNA from 1 species
UUACUAGAGUAGCACUCGCAUAUCAAUAAGCGGAGGAAAAGAAACUAACAAGGAUUCCCCUAGUAACGGCGAGUGAAGCGGGAAGAGCUCAAAUUUGAAAUCUUAAAGGGUUUCCCUUUACGAAUUGUAGUUUAAAGAAGUGUUUUCUGUUGAGGUUUUGGUAAAAGUUCUUUGGAAUAGGACAUCAUAGAGGGUGAGAAUCCCGUAUUUGACCUUUACUUUCAACUUUGUGAUACACUUUCAAAGAGUCGGAUUGUUUGGGAAUGCAGUCCAAAAUGGGUGGUAAAUUUCAUCUAAAGCUAAAUAUUGGCGAGAGACCGAUAGCGAACAAGUACCGUGAGGGAAAGAUGAAAAGAACUUUGAAAAGAGAGUUAAACAGUACGUGAAAUUGUCAAAAGGGAAGCGUUUGACACCAGUGUUGUUUUUCUGAAAAUCAAUUAAAGAACUGUUUAUGCUAAGUUGUUUAGACUUUAUCAGCUAUCUGCUUAGUUUUGAGCUUUUCUUUAAUGCACUUUUCAGUUAACAAGUCAACAUCAAUUUCUUUUGCUGUAAAAAAGCUUGAGGAAGGUGGCUUGAGAUUCGUCUUAAGUGUUUAUAGCCUCUUGCCUAUGCAGUCGGAGAGAUUGAGGUCUGCAGCGUAGAUCCUUCGGGGCUAAAUGCAUUUGUGCUAAGUUAUAGCAUUUUAUAGACAACUUGUUGACUAUGAUUUGUCUUGUAGCUUACUCGCUUAUGUUAUUUUACCUACGCUUAGGAUGUUGAACUACUGAGACAUAGA